UACUUCAAGAUCUCUUUCCUCGGUUAUAUAAAAGAUUCCAUCUUAACGACCCACAAAAUCCUUGGAAAAAAAACUGAAGGCCCACGUUCUGAUCUAUUCCCUUCUGAAUACUCUACGCUGCAAAAAAAUAAUAAUCUUAAUAUAUCUUAAUUCUCCACAAUCUCUUUCCUCAGUUGUAAAAGAAAACAUAAUUUCAAACUUUUGACACCUAUAUAGCUCCACGGAACAACCUAGAGAAAUCUCUAAGAAAUUAUCCUCUCGAUGCCAACCCUGUGGAGGACACCUCGGCCUCCUCUCUAUGAAGCUGUCUCGGCCUUCCUCCAUCGACACCUCGGCCCUCCCUCCCAUCUGUUCCUUUUCUUAUCCAGGGAAUUUAACAGGGUGGACGCCGUGCAGUCAGAUGCUACGGCAACACAUCUCACCGUGCAAUCCAAUUAAGCAGUCAACGUUAUUAUCUUAUCCAUCGCCAGCAAGGAUUCACCUAGGCUAUUACUCCGAUGUGGCGCUGCCGGUCACUUGGUCUUUUGCCUAACCAGUGACCAUACAACAUCAUGAAUACCUUAAACUAAAAGGAAUUAUUGCAUAUUCGGCAGAUCCACAGCCUCAAGUUACUUGGAUAGAGCUGUGCUAUGGUGGUUCCUAGGCAAUAGGAUUCAAAAUCUUGCUUUUCUGUUUGUGGAUUUAUAGCCCAAUAGACUCCAGGACAUGUUGAGAUGGUGGCUACAUCUGUAAGAAUUUAGCACCUUUUUUCUGGAUUUCAUUGAUUCAUAAUUUCCCUUGCAGGUGUAAAUAUCUAGAUAUGAAUCUAAUGCAGUUUUGUGAGGCUCCACGGUCUGAUUCCAUUGCGAACAAGCGAGGAUUUAUUUUUCCUGAUGACAAGCGUCCCAAGUAGUACGUAUAGCUGGUGGCCGCAAAAAUUGCCGGAUUACGACAAUAUGAUUGUCUUCCAUCACAACACGUCAAGCGUAUAUAUCAUGUUAUCUAGCAGAAUUUGUAGAUCAAUUGUUAUCCUGCACUUCCAGUAUGUUGUCUAAUUUUUCCUGUUGUCCCUUUUCUUUUUCAUAAAAGCACACAGUCAUUUAAUAUAAAUUUGUUGGCAUUCUCUUUGCCAUAUGCAUAUGCAUGGCUUGCCGGCCGGACAAUAAGACAACCGGUGAUCUACCUUUUGCGUUACAGGAAACUUUAAUAUAUGCAUGGUUAUUUAUUGUAUUUGUGAAGGAGCAGGACCGUGAUGAGAUAGAUAAUUUUGAAAGUACAAAUGCAGCUCUACUCACAGAAUUAUUAUUAACAUGGUUAGAUUUUAAUAGUAUGUGUGACCUUUUCCCGUCGCAGUUCCAGAAUACUUUUUAGAGAUGCUACAUAUAGAAAAUAAGAUAAGGUAUCUUUAACCAUGACUUGCAUGAAUUCAUAAUGGCCAAAAUAUUGUCAGCGGAAUAUUUAGAAUAUAUGCAUGCCAUUAGAUCUACUUCGCCAAACAACACUCUACACUAGGAGCUCUAAGAAAAGUUGUGAGUACAUUUAUGCAAUAGCCUACAUUGGGUGUAGAUCACAAAUAUGAUUUUUAGUCGUUAUAUCGAACCUAAAUAUAAUUUUGAUGUGCAAAAUUCAGUUGUUGCAUAAUUUAUCGCACUAAAAAUGUUUCUGCUAUUGCAAGUUCGAGAUGAGUUUUAAUUCCGUAGGUGUGGAACCGAUUCACCUCGCAAUAGUUUUGUAGCCUCUAAAUUUUUCUCCUGUCUAUCACAAUAUUACACAAUUUCAUUGGGCUAACUCUUCCGUGAUUUUGCUACUGUGCUUCGCUAACUGGAGUUAUUCUAAUUUUUAACUAUUUUUGAAUUAGUUUGACUCAAAUUAAAUGGUGUAGUCAUGUAGUAACAAUAAUAUUCCAAAGUGUUGUCCUCCUGGCUGUACUCGAUGCAGUAAAUGAGAUGAAACAUUGAGGUAUAGCUACACUUUCAACAAUAUUACGAGUUCAUUUUCUACA
rnacentral:lncRNA from 1 species